rnacentral:rRNA from 1 species
CUACGGAGGGUGCAAGCGUUACUCGGAAUCACUGGGCGUAAAGGACGCGUAGGCGGGUUGUCAAGUCUGAUGUGAAAUCCUAUGGCUCAACCAUAGAACUGCAUUGGAAACUGGCAACCUAGAGUAUGGGAGGGGGAGAUGGAAUUAGUGGUGUAGGGGUAAAAUCCGUAGAUAUCACUAGGAAUACCGAAAGCGAAGGCGAUCUCCUGGAACAUAACUGACGCUAAGGCGUGAAAGCGUGGGGAGCAAACGGGAUUAGAAACCCCAGUAGUCC